rnacentral:lncRNA from 1 species
GAUAAAGCUAAGACCUUUCUAAGUUAGAGGGAAGAAAAUAUGCAAAACCACUAACAGGGGAAGAUCAUAGCUUACUUGGGAAACUAGUAGCAGCAGGUCUUUCUGCACUGUCCUGCAAAAUGAACCAGUUAAUUAAGAGCCUGAGAAGAAGCCCUCAACACAGAAAACAGCCAAGAGAGGGACUCAGGGUCGGAGUGAGGUCCUGAAGAGGAGGAGCUUGGAUACAGAAUUUUGAUGCUGGGGCAUCAACCGUGGCUCUUGAUGUUGAACCGAACAUUUGGGAAGGACACCAUUCAGGAGGCUAGGACCGCAUGGCCCAUGACCCACCUCCACCUGUGCGGAACAGGGCAGCCUGCCCCUCUGGUCAACAAUCUUUAUCUGCUUUGUACAUCGAGUCCAGCCACUGUGGGAUGGAGACCAUCACACCGCCCGUGUUUGAGGAUUUCUCCACUACACAGACAACAAUCACUCUAUAGUGUAACCUGUCGAACCUGGUGUGAGGCAACUGAAGACUGUAACUUGAACAGUAUGAAAGAGUUUUGCUGCCACCUAAUGGAAAAGUAUCAUAUUUUUUAUUAUUCUGCAAUAGACAACUUUCUUUUUACCUCAUUGAAUAUUCAUGUCAAAACUACAUUCAUUAUUUUAUUAAAUAUACUUCAGUUGGGAAUGAGUUUCUUCAUUUCUAUUAACUCUAAUGUUUUUGGGGUGCACGUGCUGUGUAUGUGUGUUGUGGUAAUGCAGGGGGUAUGA